UGGGAAGUAUGACGAAUACGCUACGCUGCUGCUUCGUGUACAGACAUCCAUUUGAAAACACGUGUCGCUGCAAGCAAGCGAUGCCGCGUCUGGGGCGCGUCUAUGACGAUGCGCUCCGUGUGCAGAGGGCCUUACUCUGUGAGUGUUUACCACGGGUUCCAUUUUCUUUCGAUAACCGCGCCCCCUUACUACUCGCUGUUCGGUAGAUACGUCGACCGCUACCGCGACAACUCAUCCGCUCACAGAACGGCUACGUUCCUAAAUUCAACGUUUCGCUUAAAGCGCUGGCAACGACAAAAAGCCCACGUUUUCCUCGGUUUUGUUGAAUCGAGUGAAAAAAAUGACGUCGAAAGAAGUCUAUCGCUAUAGCCUUCUAUAGUACUUAGCCAACUGAACACUACUACAGCUUUUUAUAAAAAUGAUAACGACACGAUUAUUCAAUUAUUAGCGUUACGC
rnacentral:lncRNA from 1 species